GGGGGUAGGGUUGUGUCUCCCCCCUCAGACUGGGGCUCCCUGAGGGCAGGGCUGUGUCUCCCUCCUCAGACUAGGGCUCCCUGAGGGCAGGGCUGUGUCUUCCCCUCAGACUAUGGCUUGCUGGGGGUAGGGUUGUGUCUCCCCUCUCAGACUGGGGCUCCCUGAAGGCAGGGCUGUGUCUCCCCCCUCAGACCGGGGGUCCCUGAGGGAAGGGCUGUGUCUCCCCCCUUAGACUGGGGCUUCCUGAG